CAAUUGAUUUCUGAAAAGUCACCUUGUUUAAACGACCUUUCCAAAUUUGCUUAUUAAUUCUAAUAGUUUGUUUAUAGACCCUUUUGAAUUUUUUGCAUACAUCACCAUGUAUGUGAGCAAAUAAUAGUUUUAUUCUUUCGUUUUAAGUCUCAUACUUUUCAAUUUUUUUCUUGCCAUAUUGCACUGGCUAGGAUCUUCAGUACGAUGAUGAAUAGAAGUAGCGAUAGUAGCCUUGUCUUGUUCCUAACCUCAGAGGAAAAGCAUUCACUAG
rnacentral:lncRNA from 1 species